AACAGGAUUAGAUACCCUGGUAGUCCACGCUGUAAACGAUGUCGACUUGGAGGUUGUGCCCUUGAGGCGUGGCUUCCGGAGCUAACGCGUUAAGCCGACCGCCUGGGGAGUACGGCCGCAAGGUUAAAACUCAAAUGAAUUGACGGGGGCCCGCACAAGCGGUGGAGCAUGUGGUUUGAUUCGAUGCAACGCGAAGAACCUUACCUACUCUUGACAUCCAGAGAAUUUGCUAGAGAUAGCUUAGUGCCUUCGGGAACUCUGAGACAGGUGCUGCAUGGCCGUCGUCAGCUCGUGUUGUGAAAUGUUGGGUUAAGUCCCGCAACGAGCGCAACCCUUAUCCUUUGUUGCCAGCACGUAAUGGUGGGAACUCAAAGGAGACUGCCGGUGAUAAACCGGAGGAAGGUGGGGAUGACGUCAAGUCGUCAUGGCCCUUACGAGUAGGGCCACACACGUGCUACAAUGGCAUAUACAAAGAGAAGCGACCUCGCGAGAGCAAGCGGACCUUAUAAAGUAUGUCGUAGUCCGGAUUGGAGUCUGCAACUCGACUCCAUGAGGUCGGAAUCGCUAGUAAUCGUGGAUCAGAAUGCCACGGUGAAUACGUUCCCGGGCCUUGUACACACCGCCCGUCACACCAUGGGAGUGGGUUGCAAAAGAAGUAGGUAGCUUAACCUUCGGGAGGGCGCUCACCACUUUGUGAUUCAUGACUGGGGUGAAGUCGUAACAAGGUAACC
rnacentral:rRNA from 1 species